rnacentral:tRNA from 1 species
AGUCGCGUGGUGAAGUGGUUAACACAAACGGCUUUGACCCGUUUAUUCCUUCGUUCGAAUCGAAGCGCGACUG